rnacentral:rRNA from 1 species
CAGUAGCCGCGGGAAUACGGAGGGGGCUAGCGUUGUUCGGAAUUACUGGGCGUAAAGCGCACGUAGGCGGCUUUGUAAGUUAGAGGUGAAAGCCCGGAGCUCAACUCCGGAAUUGCCUUUAAGACUGCAGAGCUAGCAGGUGAGAGAGGUGAGUGGAAUUCCGAGUGUAGAGGUGAAAUUCGUAGAUAUUCGGAAGAACACCAGUGGCGAAGGCGGCUCACUGGCUCAUACUGGACGCUGAGGUGCGAAAGCGUGGGGAGCAAACAGGAUUAGAUACCCGGGUAGUCCCUGUCUCUUAUAA